AGUGAACGCUGGCGGUAGGCCUAACACAUGCAAGUCGAACGGCAGCACAGUAAGAGCUUGCUCUUACGGGUGGCGAGUGGCGGACGGGUGAGGAAUACAUCGGAAUCUACUUUUUCGUGGGGGAUAACGUAGGGAAACUUACGCUAAUACCGCAUACGACCUACGGGUGAAAGCAGGGGAUCUUCGGACCUUGCGCGACUGAAUGAGCCGAUGUCGGAUUAGCUAGUUGGCGGGGUAAAGGCACACCAAGGCGACGAUACGUAGCUGGUCUGAGAGGAUGAUCAGCCACACUGGAACUGAGACACGGUCCAGACUCCUACGGGAGGCGGCAGUGGGGAAUAUUGGACAAUGGGCGCAAGCCUGAUCCAGCCAUACCGCGUGAGUGAAGAAGGUCUUCGGGUUGUAAAGCCCUUUUGUUGGGAAAGAAAAGCAGCAGGUUAAUACCCCGCUGUUCUGACGGUACCCAAAGAAUAAGCACCGGCUAACUUCGUG
rnacentral:rRNA from 1 species